rnacentral:rRNA from 1 species
GGUUAACCGAAUAGGGAAGCCGUAGAGAAAUCGAGUCCGAAUAGGGCGAAUAGUCGCUGGGUGUAGACCCGAAACCAAGUGAUCUAUCCAUGGCCAGGAUGAAGGUACCGUAACAGGUGCUGGAGGUCCGAACCGACUAGUGUUGCAAAACUAGCGGAUGAGCUGUGGAUAGGGGUGAAAGGCUAAACAAACUUGGAAAUAGCUGGUUCUCUCCGAAAACUAUUUAGGUAGUGCCUCAAGUAUUACCUGCGGGGGUAGAGCACUGUUUCG